AAGAUAACGAGCUAACCGUUUCCGCUUAAAAGAGCAAUUAUCCACUGUUGCAGUAGUGGGAAAAGAGAAAAGGUUAGAGGUUAAAUGCCACUCGCGUUAUCAGAUAGCUGGUUCUCGGGGAAAAAGAUUUAAGUCUUACGCUCAAAAGCUUCCCUAUCCAGUUUCCAAGAAGAGACCGCAUUAGCACAAAGAGUAGUAAGAGAUCUGGAGAUAAGUUCUGAUCUCAAAAAGGAAACAACCCAGAGCAUAAAAGAAGUCAACCUAAAGUAAGGAUUAUAAUCACAAGUAGGCUUAAGAGCUGCCAACAUAGUAGAAAGCGUUAAAGCUCCAACACAGCGAUCCUAAAAUAACUGGAAAAAACCUAAUUUUUGUUCUAAGUACCCGAGACACUAUAAUGUUUAAACAAGUAAGAACUAAUUUUUAGCUCAGCCCGCAGUGGAAGAACAACCUUUAAAAACCAAGGAGGAGGAAAACACCAAGACAUCCCUCCCUUAGCUUCCCCCCAACCCAGGAGCAGAGAUAGAGAAAAUAUAAGAGUAAGGAAGGAACUCGGCAAAAUAAGGAAGGACUGUUUACCAAAAACAUAGCUCCCUGAAAAAAUAGGGGGUCCAGCCUGCCCAGUGGUCCAAAACUAAACGGCCGCGGUAUCUUGACCGUGCAAAGGUAGCAUAAUCACUUGUCUUUUAAAUGAAGACUCGUAUGAACGGAAUAACCUUUCUUAACUGUCUCCCUUACUCCCCUCUGAAACUCAUACUCAGGCGAAGAAUCCUAAAUUAUACAGAAAGACGAGAAGACCCUGUCGAGCUUCAGCUAAAAAGGAAUUUGAGAAACCUUAAUGUCCUACUACAGCUUUGGUUGGGGCAACCACGGAGAACAAGAAUCCUCCGGGAAUCGUGGAAGACCAUUCACUUCUCCACUCCAUAAAAAAAGAACCAGAACCUGGAAAACGGAAAAAGUUACCGCAGGGAUAACAGCGUUAUCUCCUCUAAGAGUCCAUAUUGACGAGGAGGGUUGCGACCUCGAUGUUGGAUUGGGGCACCCCUAGGGUGCAGAAGCUCUAAAAGGCCGGACUGUUCGUCCGUUAAAGCCCU
rnacentral:rRNA from 1 species